GAACCGAGGAAGGAGGCUGCCAAAGGAAAGAGGAAGAAAGUCGAUAUGCUGAUAGCCAGGCUGGUGCUCGUCCAGAGUGCCAGUGACCCACAAGAAGUCAACAUCAGUCCCAGGACUUUGAGAACAACUUGGAAACUUCCAUGACUGGGGAAACGCAAGAGUAUUGCAAAGCACAGAGAUAUAAAAGAGAGAAGUGAGCAGAAACACAUGGGGACUACCUACCACCAAGA